rnacentral:rRNA from 1 species
CCGUAACUAUAACGGUCCUAAGGUAGCGAAAUUCCUUGUCGGGUAAGUUCCGACCCGCACGAAAGGCGUAAUGAUUUGAGCACUGUCUCGACAAUGCACCCGGUGAAAUUGAAAUACCAGUGAAGAUGCUGGUUACCUGCGCCAGGACGGAAAGACCCCAUGGAGCUUUACUCCAGUUUGAUACUGGGAUUCGGUAUUGCAUGUACAGGAUAGGUGGGAGGCUGUGAAGCGAUGACGCCAGUUGUCGCAGAGCCGCUGUUGGGAUACCACCCCUGUAGUACUGGGUUUCUAACCAGUUGCCAUGAACUGGCAAUGGGACAAUGUCAGGCGGGGAGUUUGACUGGGGCGGUCGCCUCCGAAAGGGUAUCGGAGGCGCUCAAAGGUUCCCUCAGAAUGGUUGGAAACCAUUCGAAGAGUGCAAAGGCAGAAGGGAGCUUGACUGCGACACCGACGGGUGGAGCAGGUACGAAAGUAGGACUUAGUGAUCCGGUGGUAUAAAGUGGGAUUGCCAUCGCUCAACGGAUAAAAGCUACCCUGGGGAUAACAGGCUUAUCACUCCCAAGAGUUCACAUCGACGGAGUGGUUUGGCACCUCGAUGUCGGCUCAUCGCAUCCUGGGGCUGUAGUAGGUCCCAAGGGUUGGGCUGUUCGCCCAUUAAAGCGGUACGCGAGCUGGGUUCAGAACGUCGUGAGACAGUUCGGUCCCUAUCCGGCGUGGGCGUAGGAUAUUUGAGAGGAGCUGUCCUUAGUACGAGAGGACCGGGAUGGACUGACCUCUGGUGUACCGGUUGCACUGCCAAGUGCAUGGCCGGGUAGCCAAGUCGGGAAGGGAUAAACGCUGAAGGCAUCUAAGCGUGAAGCCCCCCUCAAGAUGAGAUAUCCCAUUCGAAAGAAGUAAGACCCCUUGAAGACGACGAGGUAGAUAGGGCAGAGGUGGAAGUGCAGUAAUGCAUGAAGCUGACUGUUACUAAUCGGUCGAGGGCUUAACCAA